rnacentral:rRNA from 1 species
AAUACGUUCCCGGGCCUUGUACACACCGCCCGUCAAGCCAUGGAAGCUGGGAGUGCCUGAAGUGCGGUAACCGUAAGGAGCGUCCUAGGGUAAAAUCGGUAACUGGGGCU